rnacentral:rRNA from 1 species
UUCAACAGUAUAUUGCUUGGUUUCAAGUCCCGAUGAAGAACGUUUGCCGAGUGAAUGCUGCCAGAGCAAUCAUGAAGCGCAGGGCUACGUCAGGAACACUUCCAACCU